CCUCUCCCCGCCCCGGGGUGGGGCCCCGAAGGUCCGGGGCUUUCCCGGAUUUCCCUGGGGGCGGGGCAGCCGCUGGGGUUGAGUCCGGGUCACUGAGUCACAGGAGGCGGAGAGGGAGGCUUUGGGGACACAGGGGGCGGGGCAUGGGGGCUGCACCCCGGACUUGCCCAGGGGGCACGCGGCGUCUCUCUGGUUCUCUCCCCCGGUCUCCUUCUGUCUUCGAAACUUGCCUGACCUCCCUCUGGUUGUCUCCUGCCCCGCCCUCUGUCUCUGUCUCCCCAUCUCUGUUGCUGUCUCUGUGUCCCCUGGGACCUUGAAAGUGGGUAUUGGGGCCCCGGGAAGGGACUUUGGCCGGACUCGGGCCCCACCCGAGUGGAUCGUUAACCCAGGAUGUGAGAAGUGGCUGUGUGGAGAGGCCUCACCCCUUCCCUUCCUUUCGACCUCUCUCUGGAUCUCCCUUAUCCCCCUUCAUGGCGAAACAUCCCGAGCACAGACCUGUGUUAAUUCCACCUCCACCCCUUGCUCCCGGUGGGACCUCAGACAAGCCAUCCCCUGCCUUGAGACUCAGUUUGUUCUUCUGGAAAAUGGGACCAAUGGCAACCCCUGCCUGCUGGUGUUGUGGGGGCCACAGCAAGGGAAGAGGGGAGGAAUUCGGUUGGACAGGCUGGGGGCUGUGUUCCCUGCCCAUCCAACCCCACCCCUGGGGACCCUCAGACACAGGAGAGGGGUGUGGAGCACUAUCCCAAUGCACAGAAAGGAAAGCUGAGGUUUGGAGGGGCGAGGCUUAGGGUGGGGACCCUCAGAGGUAGGGUGGGAAGGACACCCAAGCCUGUCCCACUCCUGGCAUCCCAGGGCAGCUGGUGCAGUGGUUCCAACCUAGCAGGACUGUAGAGGGGAGAAGAUGUGAUGGGUCCGGUGGGAGCUUCGAAGGGCUGGGAGAGACGGUGCUGCUGGAAGAGAGGGUGCUGAUGGUUCUCUGAGGUUGGAAGAGGGAUAAAAGGGUCAGAAGGAGGAGGAUCUGAAGAAGGAAGAUAGGUCUGAGAGAGAAGUAGAUGGUUUAGUGGGAGGAGGGGGAGAGGAUCUGAAGGAGGAGGACAGGGUCUGUUGGAGGAGGUAAGGGUCUGAUGGAGGAAAUAAGGGUCUGAGGGUGGAGGCGAGGUUUGGAGGGAGGAGGUGAAGGUCUGAGGGAGGAGACAAGGGUCUGAAGGAGGAGAUAAGAGUCUGAGGAAGGAGGCGAGGGUUUGAGAGAGGAGGUGAGGGUCUGAAGGAGGAGGUGAGGGUCUGAAGGUGGAGGUGAGGGUUUGAGAGAGGAGGUGAGGGUCUAAAGGAGGAGGUAAGGGUCUGAAGGUGGAGGUGAGGUUUGGAGGGAGGAGGUGAGGGUCUGAGAGGAGGUGAGGCUCUGAAGGAGGAGGUGGGGGUCUGAGGGAGGAGGUAAGGGUCUGAGGGAGGAGGAGAGAGUUGGAGGGGAAAGAAGGGUCUGAGGAAAGAAGAUUUGGAGAGAGUCUGAGGGUAGAGGCCAGAUCUGAGGGAGAAGAAAGAGGCUCAGGGGAAAAGAUCUGAGGGUCCGAGGGUGGAAGGCAUGGACUAGGGGAGGAGGAGCUGGUGGGGUGGAGGGGUGGAGAGGCGUGCCUCCGGAGCCAGCAGGGACCAAGGGGAGGGAAGGGAAGGGAGGCUGGGAGGCAGCCCCGCCCUGCAGCUGUCUCUAAUUUCCCAGAAUCUUCUGCUCUCAGGAAAGUCCCAGCUCCCACAGCAGCCUCCCUCCAAUGUCGGGAACGGAGGAUGCGGAACCAGGAUGGCCACCCCCACCCUCCCCCGGCUCCUUGCACCCCAGGCGGAAAGGACUAGGGUCUCCUUUCUCUGGGCCUUGGCCUCUGGAGGGCCCCCACCCGCAGGGGCAGCCCCUGGAUGAGUCUUAGAAACUUCCCAGAGGAGGCCAGGAAGUUCUGCUUGGUGUCUAACCACUUUCCCCUCAUGCAGGCCGCCCUUUGUACCUGUUCAGAUCUCCUCCCCAGCUGCUGUUUCUUUUUCCCCAACCCAUCCUGGGGGAGGAAAGGCCAGGAAUUUACCUGCUCAAAGUCCUGAGAGGGAAACGAAAUUCCAUCUGGAAGUCUGUAGGCUUGAGGCAGCUUUCUUGCUCUCAGGGGCCUCAAUUUCCCUUUCUAAGAGGAGAGAGUAGGGCUGGUCAGGGCCUAAGUUCCCAUCUGGCUCAAUUACUGGGUCUUGUCCUGCUUUUUUUUUGAGACAAGAUCUGGCUCUGUCUCCCAGGCUGAAGUGCAGUGGUGAGAUCAUAGCUCACUGUAGCCUUGAACUCCUGGACUCAAAUGAUCCUCCUGCCUCAACCUCCCAAGUAGGUGGGACUACAGGCAUGUGCCGCAAUGACUGGCUAAUAAAAAAAACAAUUUGUAGACUCAGGGGGUCUCACUGUGUUGCCCAGGGUGUUCUCGAACUCCUGGGCUCAAGCGAACCUCCCUCCUCGGUCUCCCAAAGUGCUGGGAUUACAGGCGUGAGCCACCGCAUCUGGCUU
rnacentral:lncRNA from 10 species